CAUAAUUUAGCAGAUCAAUGCUCUAAUACUUAGUCCUGAUAAUGAUCCGAUUCAUCCAUCUCCUAUCACCGGAAGGGCUUAUUAUAUGUUUUCUCCGAAGUCGGAUUCGAGUCAUCUCGCAACGUAAGACGCGACUCGAUUCGGGACAGUAAAGCAGCGGCUCGAAUUCAUGUGUCUCGUCUCUCGAUGCCUUCCCUUCCUUUGUAUCUGAACGAUCAUAUGACGAGUGCUUCCCACUCGCUGUUUGGUCUGCAGUUAAGAGGGGUUCGCUACCGCGCGGCUCUUCCGCCGGACUCCCUCUUUCGGCCGUCGCCUGCCGCUCUCCGUCGCACUUCGUUCCUCCUCACCCCGAAUCCGAUCCGUCUAUUCCGUGCGACGGUUCAGCCCCGGUCUGGGUCUAGGUCGCAGUCUGAGAUGGAGGAGGUCGUCAACUACACCUUCGGCCCGUACAAGAUCCACCGUACCGAGGUCUUCCACUCCACCGUGCACUCCUUUGCCACGGUCAACCUGCGGCCUCUCCUACCGGGUCAUAUCCUUUCAACGAAGGCACUAAUUCAUCUUAUUGAUAUCAUUUUACUUGAUGAUAUAUGCAUGCAAUGUUCAGUUCCUCUGUUGUGCAUCUAUGUUAAAAUGCACAGAUCUCUUUGGUGGCAUCUUUCUCUCUAUUCACUUCAUUUGUACACUUUUUAUUUUGCAUGCAUAAUUUCGCCAUAAGUUGAACCUUGACAUUAUCUACAUGUGCUUGUAUGUCCAAGGCGGGAAGUAAAAUGUUUUAUUGAUCUCACUGCUGAUGUGGUUUGUGACUUAUGGCUUACUGCCAAGGAAGUUGGUGGUCGUCUUGAGCGUCAUCUUGAAGCAUCUUCACUGAGAUUUGCUAUUCAAGUAAGAUUAUUAGAAUUUAUUUUGGUCACUGUUUUAUGUUAUGUAAUUUCACUAUAUCUAAUAAAUGAAUGAUUCAAUUAUUGCUA